UAUUGGCUGGCAGCGUGCCUAACACAUGCACGUCGAACGGUAGUAUUAUCUUCGGAUAAUAUGAGAGUGGCGAACGGGUGAGUAACACGUAAGAAUCUACCUUUAGGACGGGGAUAACUUCUGGAAACGGAUGCUAAUACCCGAUAUGCUGUGGAGUGAAAUGAAUUUCGCCUAAAGAUGAUCUUGCGUCUGAUUAGCUAGAUAGGGUGGUAAUGGCGCCCUAUGGCGACGAUCAGUAGCUGGUCUGAGAGGAUGGACAGCCACAUUGGGACUC
rnacentral:rRNA from 1 species